UAUACUAUAGUUUAUAUAAUUUAAAACCUUGAACUGCAAAUUCGCCAAAGGACAAUAAAAUCCUAGUAUAU
rnacentral:tRNA from 1 species